GUGCAGCAGUCGAGAAAACUUUACAAUGCGGGAAACCGUGAUAAGGGAAUCUCGAGUGCCAGCAUAUAAUGUUGGCCGUCCAGAUGCCUAAAAAGCAUCUGUUAGCAAGGGCCGGGCAAGACCGGUGCCAGCCGCCGCGGUAACACCGGCGGCCCGAGUGGUAACCGCUUUUAUUGGGUCUAAAGGGUCUGUAGCCGGCCAAGUAAGUCCCUUGGGAAAUCUGGCAGCUUAACUGUCAGGCUGCUAGGGGAUACUGCUGGGCUUGGGACCGGGAGAGGUGAGAGGUACCUUGGGGGUAGGGGUGAAAUCUUGUGAUCCUCGGGGGACCACCAGUGGCGAAGGCGUCUCACCAGAACGGGUCCGACGGUAAGGGACGAAAGCUAGGGGCACGAACCGGAUUAGAUACCCCUGUAGUCC
rnacentral:rRNA from 1 species